ACUCAACACUCCCCCAAGCCCCAACCCCUCGCCAGUCGCCACCUCCCUCCCUCCGGCUCCUCCCCCCAGAGCUCCCCCCNNNNNNNNNNNNNNNNNNNNNNNNNNNNNNNNNGCAAUUGCUCCCCGUCCCCGCGCCGCCGCCGCCCGUCGCCGGCCGGCUCCCCGCCCUCCAACUCCAGCGCGGCCUCCGGCGGCGCCAGCGGCGGCGGCGGCGGCGGCACCACCGUGUCCCCGUACGCGCUCGCCAGAUCCCCCUCGGUCUCCGUCUCCGUCGACCCCGAGGCCGACGCCGAGCGGGGGGCCGUGGUCCGCGUCUACGGCUCCGACGGCUGCCCCGUCGCGUGGCGCCUCCGCGUCGCGCUGCUCUACAAGGCGGCGGCGCCCGUGCACUUCACGCCGUCCGAGGCGGCCCCGCUCGGCCGCCCCGUGCUCCGCCUCUCCGCCGCCGACCCGGAGCUCUGCGGCGCCGCCGACGAGCUGCUGCGCCACGUCGACGCGCGCUUCGAGGGCAAGCCCCGCGUCGCGCCGCCAGACCGGCCCCUGGCGCGCGCGUCGCUGGCGGCCGCGGCGGCAGAGGAGGUGGCCGAGAUGGUGCGGCUGCAGCACCGCAGCGCCGAGCGGCACCUGGAGGGCGUGGCCGCCAAGCUGGCGGAGAUGGUGAAGAAGGGGGCGAAGAAGGCCGGCAAGGGGCGGAACGUGGCGGUGGAGGGCGCCGAGGUGCGGAGGCUGGGGAAGUGGUACGGCGACGCCAUGGAGGUGAUGCUGGAGCACGCCAGGAUGGAGGAGCGGGUGCUGUUCCCCGACAUCCAGAGGGCUUCGUUCCCAGGGGUGUGCGAUAAGGUUCAGGAGCAGCACGGGAAGCACCUGCCCAUGAUGAACGGAAUCAAGGAGGAUAUAAAAACGCUUCUGACGCUGGAGCUGGGCAGCGCCCUCUUCUAUGAAGUGCUGGUCAACCUCUCCGUCCGCCUCAAAGCGUUGCAGGAUCACACAAAAGAGCACUUCAAGGAGGAAGAGAAGGAUAUGCUCCCACGACUGGAAUCAGUACGGCGGAUGCAGCGCGAGGAGGGGAAUGUUCCUGACAAGUCCAACUCCGGAUGGGCAUCGGAGGCCAUGGGCACAAUGGAGAUGACGCACUCAAAGCUCUUCCCCUUCUUCAUGACCGGGCUCAUGCCCCAGGAGGCCGUGCAGUACCUCGACCUGGUGUGCAGGUGCACCAAGAACACCCGGCAUCUGGUCUCCAUGCUCAGAUCGCUCGCGGAGCGCCUGGAGGACGCAAACCCGUCGAUAAUCCACAACAACCCCACACGACUAUAUGAGCACCUACUUGUAAAAUCCCCAUAA
rnacentral:rRNA from 1 species